CUUGUGAUUGUGCCAGCCGCCGCGGUGAUACGGAGGGUGCAAGCGUUAAUCGGAAUUACUGGGCGUAAAGCGCACGCAGGCGGUCUGUCAAGUCGGAUGUGAAAUCCCCGGGCUCAACCUGGGAACUGCAUUCGAAACUGGCAGGCUAGAGUCUUGUAGAGGGGGGUAGAAUUCCAGGUGUAGCGGUGAAAUGCGUAGAGAUCUGGAGGAAUACCGGUGGCGAAGGCGGCCCCCUGGACAAAGACUGACGCUCAGGUGCGAAAGCGUGGGGAGCAAACAGGAUUAGAUACCCUGGUAGUCCACGCCGUAAACGAUGUCGAUUUGGAGGUUGUGCCCUUGAGGCGUGGCUUCCGGAGCUAACGCGUUAAAUCGACCGCCUGGGGAGUACGGCCGCAAGGUUAAAACUCAAAUGAAUUGACGGGGGCCCGCACAAGCGGUGGAGCAUGUGGUUUAAUUCGAUGCAACGCGAAGAACCUUACCUGGUCUUGACAUCCACAGAACUUAGCAGAGAUGCUUUGGUGCCUUCGGGAACUGUGAGACAGGUGCUGCAUGGCUGUCGUCAGCUCGUGUUGUGAAAUGUUGGGUUAAGUCCCGCAACGAGCGCAACCCUUAUCCUUUGUUGCCAGCGGUUAGGCCGGGAACUCAAAGGAGACUGCCAGUGAUAAACUGGAGGAAGGUGGGGAUGACGUCAAGUCAUCAUGGCCCUUACGACCAGGGCUACACACGUGCUACAAUGGCAUAUACAAAGAGAAGCGACCUCGCGAGAGCAAGCGGACCUCAUAAAGUAUGUCGUAGUCCGGAUUGGAGUCUGCAACUCGACUCCAUGAAGUCGGAAUCGCUAGUAAUCGUAGAUCAGAAUGCUACGGUGAAUACGUUCCCGGGCCUUGUACACACCCGCCCGUCCUCUCUAUGGGAGGUGGGUUGCAAAAGAAGUAGGUAGCUUAACCUUCGGGAGGGCGCUUAC
rnacentral:rRNA from 1 species